UGUGUGUUACAACAACAAAAAAAUUUCUCUUAUACAGGCAUGCACUGCAUAACGAUGUUUUAGUCAAUGAUGGACUACAAAAACAACAGUGGUCCCAUAAGCUGGUACCAUGUAGCCUAGGUGUGUAGUCAGCUAUACCAUCGAGAUUUGCUUACAACCAGUCAGACAUCCAUUGACCAAGAAAGGACACUUUGCACAGCACACCAGCAUGCCUGAGAGAUCCAUGAAUCUGUACAUCUGAAGGAGAAGGUUGCCCUGACCUGAGGUCUCAAAAAGCAUGGUAGCACAUGCCAGUGACCAGAGGCUGCAGGACCAGCAAUAACACUUAUGGCUUAGCCCCUACACCUCCCCCAGCAGUGGCAGGUGGCACUUGUGACCUGAGGCUUUAGCAACAACAGCAGAAACCAUGACCCAACCCCCAGUGGUGUUACCUCCAACACUGGCUCUACAAAUAGUGAGGGCUGCAUACAAGAACCUGGGCCCCCAGCAGCAACAGCAACACCCAUGAACCCAGCAGCCCUGGCAGCAGUGCUAACAGUUCCCCCAGAUAACCCAGGAGCAGCAGCACAGGUGGUGCGCAUGUUAGCAGCACCCAAGUCUUUGGAAAGCCUAUGGAGAGACAGUGGGGGAACGCAAGACCCAGGAAACCCUGGAAGCAGCAGAGGUACUUGCAGGUUAGUGAUUCUGGUGGUGACACCCGAGACUGCAGCAAGGUCAUAGCUGCAAGGCACCAGCAACGUUAGAGACACAUGCAGCACAAAGAGGGCACUGAUGAUGUAUCUAGCAGAGGCAGUGGAGGAUGGAAAGAGCAGGCUGUCAAAUACAACCAGAAGCAGCACAAAACCAAAGUAACCAAAGCAAUACCCAAAUAAGAAAUGUGUUUGCUACCACAAGUGCAAUGGAGGAGGAUCAAUUCAUCAAGUAUCAUGAAGAACUACAGUAACACUGCAGAAUAGAAAGAGAAUGACAACUUUCCAGAGACCAAACCUGAAGUGACAAAAGAUUACAAACUAACAAAUAAUUCAUAAUAGCUGUCAUAAAGAAACACAACAAGUUGCAAGAAAACUCACAAAGAUGGUUCAAAGAGCUCAGGAAUAAAAUAAAUGAACAGAAGGAGUACUUCACCAAAGAGAUUGGAACUCUAAAACAAAACCAAACAGAAAUAUUGGCGACGAAGAACGCAAUUAAUGAGAUGAAAAAUAAAGUAGGAAAUAUUAAAAAUAGAGCAGACUAUAUGGAAGAGAGAAUUAGUGAUCUCAAAGAUAGAAAUCUAGAGAUGAUUCAGGUGGAAGAGGACACAGUACUAAGAUUUUUAAAAAUGAAGAAAUUCUAUGAGAAAUAUCUGACUCAAUUAGGAAAAGCAACAUAAAGAUGACAGGUAUCCAGAAGGAGAAGAGAGAGAGAAAGAAGCAGAGAGCUUAUUCAAAGAAAUAAUAGCUGGGAACAUCCAAAACCUGGGGAAGAAACUGGACAUGCAAAUACAGGAAGCUAAUAGAACUCCUUAAUAUUUCAAUGUAAAAAUACCUUCUCCAAGGCAUAAUAUAUUAAAACUAUCAAAACUUGAUGACGAAAGAAAAAGGAUAUUAAGGGUCACAAUAAAGAAGACAAUAACCUACAAAGGAAUGCCUAUCGGGCUUUCAGGAGAUUUCUCAGCAGAAAACCCACAGGCUAGGAGAGAAUGGAAUGAUAUUCAAAAUACUGAAAGACAAAAACUAUCAACCAAGAAUACUCUAUCCAGUGAAAUUAUCCUUCAUAUACGUUGGAGAAAUAAAAGUUUUCCCAGACAAACAAAAACUGAGGGGGUCCACUGCCACUACACUUACCUUACAAGAAAUAUUGAAAAGAACCCUGCUACCUGAAACAAAAAGGCAAGGUUUGCAAAUCUUUGAGCAAGGAGAUAAAUAGACAGACAGAAUCAGAAAACUGUAGCUCUGUAUCAGAAUAGGUUAAUAAACACUUAAUUAUAACAUAAAGAAUAAAGGGAAAGAACGUAUCAACAAUAACUAUAACCACAUCAAUUUGUUCACAAACUCACAAAACAAAAAACAAUUUGUGACAACAAAAACAUAGAAGGGGAAGAGGAAAAGGAUGGAACCUGCAUAGCCUAAUGGAGAUAAGAGGCUAUCAAAAAAAAAGACUAUCUCAUCUAUGAGAUCUUUUACACAAACCUCAUAGUAACAACAAAAUGAAAAAGCAGAUCAGAAUCACAAAUCAUAAAUAAGGAGAAAACUAAGAAAACUAUCACAAAAAACCAUCAAACUGAAAUGGCAGUCAGAAAUACAAGGAAAAAAGAAACAAUGAAAAUAUAGACCAACCAGAAAACAAAAGAUAAAAUGUCAGUAUUAUGCCC
rnacentral:lncRNA from 1 species